AGUUUGAUCAUGGCUCAGAUUGAACGCUGGCGGAAUGCUUUACACAUGCAAGUCGAGCGGCAGCGCGGGGCAACCUGGCGGCGAGCGGCGAACGGGUGAGUAAUACAUCGGAACGUGCCCAGACGUGGGGGAUAACUACUCGAAAGAGUGGCUAAUACCGCAUACGAUCUAAGGAUGAAAGCGGGGGAUCGCAAGACCUCGCGCGUUUGGAGCGGCCGAUGGCAGAUUUGGUAGUUGGUGGGUAAAGGCUCACCAAGCCCGCGAUCUGUAGCUGGUCUGAGAGGAUGAUCAGCCACACUGGGACUGGGACACGGCCCAGACUCCUACGGGAGGCAGCAGUGGGGAAUUUUGGACAAUGGGCGAAAGCCUGAUCCAGCCAUUCCGCGUGCAGGAUGAAGGCCCUCGGGUUGUAAACUGCUUUUGUACAGAACGAAAAAGCUCUUUCUAAUACAGAGAGUCCAUGACGGUAUUGUAAGAAUAAGCACCGGCUAACUACGUG
rnacentral:rRNA from 1 species